UGCGUAGGCGGUCUUUCAAGUCAGGAGUUAAAGGCUACGGCUCAACCGUAGUAAGCUCCUGAUACUGUCUGACUUGAGUGCAGGAGAGGAAAGCGGAAUUCCCAGUGUAGCGGUGAAAUGCGUAGAUAUUGGGAGGAACACCAGUAGCGAAGGCGGCUUUCUGGACUGUAACUGACGCUGAGGCACGAAAGCGUGGGGAGCAAACA
rnacentral:rRNA from 1 species